rfam:Danio rerio chromosome 7 genomic contig CTG724, GRCz11 reference primary assembly.
GGCCAGAGCUAUAUCACCCAUCAGCCCAAGACUGGCUACUCACUGAAGCUAAGCAGGGCUGGGCCUGGUCAGUACCUGGAUGGGAAACCACAUGGGAAAUCUAAGUUGCUGUUGGAA